rnacentral:rRNA from 1 species
UACAGAGGGUGCGAGCGUUAAUCGGAAUUACUGGGCGUAAAGCGUGCGUAGACGGUUAUGUAAGUCUGUCGUGAAAUCCUCGGGCUCAACCUGAGAAUUGCGAUGGAGACUGCAAGGCUAGAAUCUGGCAGAGGGGGGUAGAAUUCCACGUGUAGCAGUGAAAUGCGUAGAGAUCCGGAGGAACACCAGAGGCGAAGGCGGCCUGCUGGGCUGCACCUGACGCGUGA